rnacentral:rRNA from 1 species
UGCUAUACAUGCAAGUCGAACGAGUUCUUGUUGAUGAUCGGUGCUUGCACCGAGAUUCAACAUGGAACGAGUGGCGGACGGGUGAGUAACACGUGGGUAACCUGCCCUUAAGUGGGGGAUAACAUUUGGAAACAGAUGCUAAUACCGCAUAGAUCCAAGAACCGCAUGGUUCUUGGCUGAAAGAUGGCGUAAGCUAUCGCUUUUGGAUGGACCCGCGGCGUAUUAGCUAGUUGGUGAGGUAAUGGCUCACCAAGGCGAUGAUACGUAGCCGAACUGAGAGGUUGAUCGGCCACAUUGGGACUGAGACACGGCCCAAACUCCUACGGGAGGCAGCAGUAGGGAAUCUUCCACAAUGGACGCAAGUCUGAUGGAGCAACGCCGCGUGAGUGAAGAAGGCUUUCGGGUCGUAAAACUCUGUUGUUGGAGAAGAAUGGUCGGCAGAGUAACUGUUGUCGGCGUGACGGUAUCCAACCAGAAAGCCACGGCUAACUACGUGCCAGCAGCCGCGGUAAUACGUAGGUGGCAAGCGUUAUCCGGAUUUAUUGGGCGUAAAGCGAGCGCAGGCGGUUUUUUAAGUCUGAUGUGAAAGCCCUCGGCUUAACCGAGGAAGCGCAUCGGAAACUGGGAAACUUGAGUGCAGAAGAGGACAGUGGAACUCCAUGUGUAGCGGUGAAAUGCGUAGAUAUAUGGAAGAACACCAGUGGCGAAGGCGGCUGUCUGGUCUGUAACUGACGCUGAGGCUCGAAAGCAUGGGUAGCGAACAGGAUUAGAUACCCUGGUAGUCCAUGCCGUAAACGAUGAAUGCUAGGUGUUGGAGGGUUUCCGCCCUUCAGUGCCGCAGCUAACGCAUUAAGCAUUCCGCCUGGGGAGUACGACCGCAAGGUUGAAACUCAAAGGAAUUGACGGGGGCCCGCACAAGCGGUGGAGCAUGUGGUUAAUUCGAAGCACGCGAAAACCUUACCAGGUCUUGACAUCUUUUGAUCCCUGAAAGAUCAGGUUCCCCUUCGGGGGCAAAUGACAGGUGGUGAUGGUUGC